CGAGACUGUCUUUUUUUUGUUUCAAUCUUUGCUUGGUUGGAUCUGUUUAUGAAAAACAAGGAACCCCCUUUUACCUUUGUCUGCUCCCAUUUCCAAGCAGGCAGCACUGAGCGACCAGCAGACGGCUCGUACCGCUGAGAGCUCGGUGCCAGCUCUCGCAGUGCAAGAGCAGCCUCCUGCCGAUGUCUGUUCUCAGCAAAAUUACUGACAGUUUGGUCGGGCACAGAGUCCAAAGCAGCAUUUCCCCACCAAGAUUCACGUGCCUUUGGUCAGGAGCGUCACCCCAGCACGGGGGUUUAUGCCGUAUGAGCAGGAGGGAGCACAAAGACGAGGCAGCAGGAGGGAAUAUACUCCUUUACGUGAGCGGUAAUAAUAUGAUCAUACCACCAAGUACGUAAAGAAAGAUGUAAUGAAGAGACAAAAUAUAUUUAACGGAGAAGACAUAGCGGAAGAAUAAUCACAUAAAUGGCACCGGCAACAGGAAGACGGGGCUGCCAUGCCUUCCAGAGCACCAGAUGCCCACAGCCACCUGCAAAAGGACAGCAGCACAGUGGCGCUCGGGGUCGGAGGAGAAAUGUGGCUGACACACAGCCCUGUGUCUGCUCAGUGCAGAUCUGGGCAUACAUCUGCCUCCUCUUGAGGCUGUGUUUCAUGGAGGACUGCCCUCACUCUGGCACUGUGGCCCUCCAACUGAAGAGAUUUAAAUCCUGGUACGACUUUGGAUCUCCGUUAUGUGCUGACUCCCAGGAAGGGCACAGCUCCCAGAGGGCUCUCAAACCUCCCAAGUGUUUCUUACUCAGCAUGCUGGCUGCUGUAAAUCCUGCUCUCCAUUUGCUCAAAUGGGCUGACUUGGCUGGAUCCCUCUGCACCCUCACCUCACCAGAAGACGUGCUCAGGCACAGGCUUUGCAAUGGUGAUACAUGAGAAACAACGUCAGAAAGCCAAUCCUACACCCAGCGUGGGGCUGGCCAACCUGUGACACUUAGCUUCACGAUGGUGAUAAGCAGAUUAAGUAUGGCUCCCAUGCUCGAACUAUAUCACACGUCUGGCACCAGGACUGUGCUGCUGGAAAAGCUGGAUAAUUCAGAUCUUCAGCCAUAGGAAGCUGUAAGUCAGCAGGAACUGCCCAAAAUGGUAUUUCAGGACCCUGCUGGCAUACAGUUGCAUGCUCCAUUCAGUCCAUAUCACGUGCUGCAAAACUGAGAUACCCCUGGGCAGCUUCCAGCAACUUACACCUGCAAACUUCUGUCUCUGAGGUAUGGAGCAGCCCAGAGCCCCUGAGCCACAGGACAUGUGGGUGUGGGUCCUGUGAACUGGGGGGCAAGUUCACAGGACCCAGCAGUGUUAUGUGCCUCCUCCUGCACAACAGCUCCCAUCCCCCAGACACCUCAGCAAAGCUGUGCCUGCCGCCCCGAGGGAUCUGGGGAAAUGAACGUCUGCACUACAUUGCUAGCACAGAUUCACUAUAAAAACUCCAUGUCAUGUCUGAGUUGAGCCACAUAAAAAGCAAAGGAAAGAUAGCGGCAGUUUUGGUAAACUUGAUUAAAGAAAUUACUGUGGGCUGAGUGAUACUGAAUAAAGCUGGGACAGGAUGAAGAGAUGUGAGAAAUGGAGUUUUCCUUUCCUCCCUUUAACCCUUCUCCCUUUUUUCAAAGUGAGCUUGACCUAGUGUGACUCCUAGCAGUUACCUGCUGGGCGCACAUCAGAUAUGUAUCAGUAACUGGAGAAUGAGGGAUAAGUCUCAGGCCACGGAAAAGAAACCAAAAUGAAAGCCUUGCCAUUAAGAAUAUUAAUAUUAGGACUGUUUGAGUUCAGACAGUUACAGACUGGAAGGCUCAGUUGCCACCCAUAGUUUGUGUAAGCAGGAAUAUCAUCAAUCCAUCCUGUGAAAACCAGUACUUCAGCUGGCAGAGUGGGAAGAGAAGAGCGAGAGAAAGAGAGGGCUUUUGUCUCAGGUUACAAGUCUGAGGGCUUGGAGAAACCCUACUACCUCUUCUUUUUUUUUUUUUUUAUUUUCCUGUAGAAAACAAAUAAAACGAAACAGAAGGCAAAAAACCCCAACAACAUAGCAACAUGACAGUGAUGUGUAUAAUGAUCUCUGGCAGCCUAAGAUAAGAUCACAGCCCUUGGGACUGGUGGAGCCUGGAGCUAACAGACCCCUGCUUUGGGGAAAAACUAGAGGCGGACAGAAAAAAUGUCCCGUUCUCAUAUUAAAAAGGAAGGAG
ensembl:lncRNA